rnacentral:rRNA from 1 species
UACGUAGGGUGCGAGCGUUGUCCGGAAUUACUGGGCGUAAAGAGCUCGUAGGUGGUUUGUCGCGUUGUCCGUGAAAACUCACAACUCAAUUGUGGGCGUGCGGGCGAUACGGGCAGACUGGAGUACUGCAGGGGAGACUGGAAUUCCUGGUGUAGCGGUGGAAUGCGCAGAUAUCAGGAGGAACACCCGUGGCGAAGGCGGCUUUCUGGGACGGUACUGACGCUGAGACGCGAAAGCGUGGGGAGCGAACAGG